GUGCUCGCCUUCGCAGUACAUACACUAAAAUUGGAGAGAUACAGAGAAGAUUGGCAUGGCCCCUGCACAAGGAAACAGCAAAUUCUUGAUGCUUCCCAUAUUUUU
rnacentral:snRNA from 1 species